GACGUAGGGCGCAAGCGUUGUCCGGAUUUAUUGGGCGUAAAGCGCGCGUAGGCGGCUCCGCAAGUCGGCCGUGAAAUCUCCGGGCUCAACUCGGAGGGGUCGGGCGAGACUGCGGGGCUCGAGGUGGGCAGAGGGCAGUGGAAUUCCGGGUGUGAGUGGUGGAAUGCGUAGAGAUCCGGAGGAACACCAGUGGCGAAGGCGGCUGCCUGGGCCUGGCCUGACGCUGAGGCGCGAAAGCGUGGGGAGCGAUCCGG
rnacentral:rRNA from 1 species